ensembl:processed_transcript 9130017K11Rik RIKEN cDNA 9130017K11 gene
AGAAGGGUCGGAGGAGUCUGCGGGCGGCUGGCGCUGCCUACCUUGAACUCUGCGGAAAGUUGGGGCGUGUAUUCGCGCGUCCAGAGCGCGCGCACCAGCGCCGCCAGCUGCUCGGUGACCUCGGCGCGGCCCGGCGCCGCCCGGUAGCGCCCCAGCGCUAGGAACUCGGCCAGCAGGUCGGUGUUGCUGAGACACUGCACCACCGCGUUCAUGAAACAGGUGUUGCCAUGGUUCUUCAAGCCCUGAGCGCCGGGCGGACGCGCCCCGUCACCCGAAGAUAUCUGGGGUUGGGAUCCCGGAGGACGAUCUGGCCCUGGACUCCCGGCAGAGGCUGGUGCCGGGCCCGGGGCGCAGGCAAAGCCCCCUUCUCCAUCGCCAUCGUAGGGACUGGGCUGGGCCGGGGGCCGGGGCGGCGAGUCCCCCGAGCGGGAGCGGCUGCCCAGAGCUAUCAGGAAGCGGUUAAGCAGGCGGCGAAGGGAACGGCGGCGGCGGGGCCGGGGCGCGGGCGGCCCCUCUCCCAGUGCGUCCCCCACGCCCGGAUCCAUGCUGGCCACGCACGGUGGUCCGGGAGCGCAGCCCCCGAGACCCCAGGCGGGCCGGCAGCUCCCCGGUCCUCACCGCCUCCCGGAGGCGCCGGGCGCCGGCUACCUGAGAGCCAGGUGUGCGGACACCGGGCGAGGGCGGAGCCAGGGGCGGGGCCGCCACGCCACGCCCCACGCGGGAAUCCGGCCCUAGGGCAGCGCCCGCCGCCGGGCUCCCGCCCCCGCGGCUGGAGCUGGGAAUGCACUCCCUCUGAGCCCGCCUAGUGGACUUCCCCGCCCUUCCUUCCCGCCUUGGAACAGGCCUUUCACCUCGGCUCGCCUUCCCCGCCCAUCCCUAAACAGCGUAGCUAACCCGGGGAUGGAACCUUCAGAAGCGCCCAGCGAAGCAAAGCCCUGGCUCUGGCUAAGUUUCUGGUCGUGGAAGCCAGAUGAAGACUAAGAAAAGUGACCGGCGAGCGGUGCCCCUGUUCGUGCCCAGGUGUCCCGAGAGGCGCGCGCUGGCAGCUGUGCAGGCCCAGUAUCUGCCAGCAGUUUGGUCUUGGGGUUCAUUUUGAGAAUAUCCCCGGUUGUGGUGCCAAGGUAGAAGAAGCUGUCGUCGUCGGCCAUCUAGGAGAUCAGAAACAGAAACCUGAAGACUCGAGUCUCCCCAGGAGUCUAGGAAGCCCCAGUCAGAAAGGAGAUGGAAUUCCAUAACCUCUGACAAAGAAGCUCAUGGUAACAUCGGUCUCCCAAGACGUAAGGACAGGUCAGCACAGCUCUGAGUGCAGCAGAGUCAGGGCCACCCGCAGCUGGAGGGUGAAUUUUACUUGACAUUCAUUCGGGUCUGAUGCUAACACACACAUGACCAGUGCCAGCUGCUGAGUCACCUCCAAAGGGCUCUUAGGAUAAGGAUGUGCUUCCUCUAUGGGGACACACAUUUGCUUUAUUCCAGUCUCCAAAGGCUACGCUCAUAAAAGGGACUAUGCAUUAAAGGAGGAAGAAUAGAUCAAGGAAUGGAGCAGAGAGUUCUAUGAAUGAAUUAUGAUUCCGUAUAUAAUCACAUCAAUAACGUCUCUUUGUGGAAGAGUCUGCAUUUCAACAGUGCAUUUCCCCAUCAGACACUUUAUUUCCUAAGAAAGGAAUAACCAUGGUGGCAGACGGAGCUGCAACAUAUCUUCAGUGUCACCUGGCCACACUGCUUCCCUCCAGGUCAGGCUUUGGAUGUUUGGUAAUGAGUGGCGAAGGUGCCAGUGAAAUGGGACCUCUUAGCGCUUGCUGUGCUCCUUCCCAGCUGUGUGCUCCCUCUGAGCUAUACCUCCUCACCAGCAUCCCACCACCGGUCUAUCCCUCCUCUCUAGCCUGGCCCAGUGCACACACACCCCUGCUCAGGCUGCUGCUGCUGCUGCAGGCACUUGCACUAGGAGUCAAUGUAGCAACCGUUGAGGCGGUACUUACUCCAGUACUCAAGACUAUUCUUUUCAUCUGUCCUGUUUGGCACUCGGUUGGCCAGAUUUUUCUAUUUGGAAGAUCCAGUUCCCACACUCGAAUUGUCCCACUACAAAGAAAAAAAUCACAAUCAAAUGGAUACCCUUUUAAGCACUGCUUCACAUCUUUUAGGGUAUUUCCACCCCACCCCACCCCACCUCACCCCCUCUUGAAGGAGAAGCUGACAGGAAGAGGGAGAAAUAUUUCUGAGGAUUUUUACUUUUCGAGCCCACUGUACAACUUGAGAAUUUCCCACUCAGCCUCAGAGCAACACUAAGAGGUAGGUUGUAUGCUCCCCGCCUCUGCAGGUGGGACGAUGCAGACAGAGCUUACACACAGCAGAACAGGACUCAUACCCCUGCUCUGUCACGCAUUGAAGUGUACACUCUCUCCACUGUACUGAGAGAAGAAGGUAUAAUCAAGUAGACAACCCAGGCGUGGUGCAUCCUUGACUCUCAGCAUGUAGGACACUGAGGCAGGCAGAUCUCUGAGUCAGCCUGGUCUACAUAGUAAGUUCCAGGACAGCAAGGGCUACAUAAAUGUGGCCCUGUCUCAAAGAUAAAUUAACAAAUUAGUCAUGCAAAUAAAUGUAGAACAAACCAGGGUUCUUAAUAUUCAGGGAAGUCCUCUUAUUAUUAAGUGAAGUUACAUAUACUUACGAUAUACAGCAUGAGGUUUUAAUGCAUAAACACACUGUGGAAAGGUUAAAUUAAACUGCUAAGCAUGUGUGUCACCUUAUUUAUCUCUUCCUAGUAAGAACACUUGAAAUCCACUCCCAUUGGAUUUCCACUUUCAGUGUUAUUUAACAUAUGCUGUGUCCGAAUAUUGCUAUGGACUGUAGUCACCGUGGGGUAUACACACUGAGUGCCCAUCGAUCGACGAGUGGAUGAUGAGUGUGCAUAUAUACAAAGGAAAACUGUUGGCCCUUAAGAAAGGUAGACAUCUGGAGAAGACCAUGCUAGCUGGAAUGAGCCCAUCACAGAAAGACAAAUAUUGCCUGAUCUCACUCUUGUGGAAUCUAAAUGGAAUGUACCAGAGGCUUGGGUGGGAGAGGGCAAGUGGAAGAUGUUUGUUCAGGACACCGAAUCUCAGUUAGGAGAAAUUAGGUGGUGAUAUCUUUUUUUUUUUUUUUCUUUCAGAAGCAAGAUCUCAUGUAGCCCAGGCUGGCCUCAUAACUCACUGUGUAACUAAGGCUGGCCAUAAGACUCUUGCCUCUGCUUCUCAAAUGCUGGGAUUACAGACAUGCACCUUGCUUAAUGGAGGAUGUUUUAGUUUGGAGAAUUCCUGUCUCCAAGGAUAGAGACGUGAGAUUAAAUGAGUACAAGUUUAAGUUAGU